GAUGAACGCUGGCGGCGUGCCUAAUACAUGCAAGUCGAGCGAAUGGAUUAAGAGCUUGCUCUUAUGAAGUUAGCGGCGGACGGGUGAGUAACACGUGGGUAACCUGCCCAUAAGACUGGGAUAACUCCGGGAAACCGGGGCUAAUACCGGAUAACAUUUUGAACCGCAUGGUUCGAAAUGGAAAGGCGGCUUCGGCUGUCACUUAUGGAUGGACCCGCGUCGCAUUAGCUAGUUGGUGAGGUAACGGCUCACCAAGGCAACGAUGCGUAGCCGACCUGAGAGGAUGAUCGGCCACACUGGGACUGAGACACGGCCAAGACUCCUACGGGAGGCAGCAGUAGGGAAUCUUCCGCAAUGGACGAAAGUCUGACGGAGCAACGCCGCGUGAGUGAUGAAGGCUUUCGGGUCGUAAAACUCUGUUGUUAGGGAAGAACAAGUGCUAGUUGAAUAAGCUGGCACCUUGACGGUACCUAACCAGAAAGCCACGGCUAACUACGUGCCAGCAGCCGCCGUAA
rnacentral:rRNA from 1 species